UCGUUUCUGUAUAAUAUUAUUCAGAUUUUUUCCUAAUUAAUUAAUUAUAUACCAUUAGUGGGUAUUCUGUUUUUGACAUAGUGGUGCCAUUUGCAGUGCCACCUUCUGCAAGAUUAUAUUCUCCUUAUACAAAAUCAAGAUUUUGACGUAAAA